AUGUUCCCCUCUCUUCCCCAUCAGGGAAUCACCACCUAUUUCUAUGGGCAUUGUACCAUGGAAGAUGGCAAACUGGCCCAAGACUUUCGUCACUCACAGAACAGAACCUCAGUGCCUACAACACCCGGCUCUUCAAAGAGGUCGACAGAGAAGUGAAGCCCCACUACGAGGUGCGGCUGGCUUCCGUGCUCGGCACAGAGCCUUCCCUGGACUCCGACAUGACUUCCAAGCUGAAGAGCUACGAAUUCCGGAAAGUCCUUUCCAGGUGACCCGGGGGAACUACGUGCCCAUCCUCCAGAAGGUGGUGGAGCAGCUGGAGAAAGCCAAGGAGUAUGCAGCCAAUAGCCACCAGGAGUAGAUGCUGGCCCAGUACAUAGAGCGCUUCACCCAGGACUCCACAGAGGCCCACAACAGGGGCUCCCGCUUCUGGAUCCAGGACGAAGGCCACAUCGUGGAGAGUUAUAUCGGGUUCAUCUAGAGCUACCAUGACUCCUUUCGUUCCCGAGGAGAAUUUGAAGGCUUCGUAGCUGUGGUGAAUAAGGCCAUGAGUGCCAAGUCUGAGCGGCUGGUGGCCGGGGCAGAGCAGCUGCUGAAGGAGUUGCCCUGGCCCCCAGCCUUGGAGAAAGACAAGUUCCUCACCCCCGACUUCACCUCCCUGGAUGUUCUCACCUUCGCUGGCUCUGGCAUCCCUGCCGGCAUCAACAUCUCCAACUACAAUGACCUGAGACAGAAGGCAGGCUUUAAGAACGUGUCACUGGGGAAAGUGCUGGCUGUGGCCCGCGCCAUGCAGUGGGAGCAGCUCACCGUUCUGGAGGAGAAUGACAAGGACCUGUACAUCCUCUGCAAGGGGCCCUCCUUCGAUGUGCAGUUGGACCUGCAUGAGCUGCUGGGCUAUGGCAGCUGCAAGCUCUUCGUGCAGGUUGAAAAAGGAGCAUUCAACUUUGACCAGGAGACAGUGAUCAACCCAGAGAUGGGAGAGCAGAUUCAGAGCUGGUAUGGAGCGGGAAGACCUGGGAUUGCAAGUUCAGCACCACCGCCUCCAGCUACAAAGAGUGCCGGGCUGAGAGCAUGGGCCUCUACCUCUGUCUCCACCCACAAGUGCUGGAGAUCUCUGGCUUUGAGGGGGUUCACGCGGAGGAGGUGAUGUGCCUGUACUGGCUCAACAUGGCUCAGGCUGGGCUCCUCGCUCUGGAGUUCUACACACCUGAGGCCUCCAACUGGCGGCAGGCCCAUAUGCAGGCCCGGAUUGUGAUCCUGAGAGUCUUACUAGAGGCUGGCGAGGAACUUGGUACCAUCACUCCCACCGCAGGCUCCGACGGGUGCCCGGAUGCCCGGGUCCGUCUCGACCACAGCAAAAUCCAGCCUGUGGGCCAGCCUGCCCUAGAGCGCUUCCUGGGGAGACUUCAGGUGCUGAAGUCCACAGGGAAUGCAGCUGGAGGAUGCGCCCUGUACGACAGGUAUGCAGCUGUCACUGAUGUGCCCGCCCGAGGGCUUCCUCACCCUCAGGGACAUGGUGCUGCUGCAUAAGGAAUCUCGGAAGCUCAUCGUUCAGCCCAACAUUCGCCUUGAAGGCUCAGAUGUGCAGCUUCUGGAAUACGAGGCCUCAGCUGCUGACCUCAUCCGAUCCUUCUCUGAGCGUUUCCCAGAGGAUGGACUUGAGUUGGAGGACAUCCUCACACAGCUGGCAACAGUCGACGCCCGAUUCUGAAAGGGCCCCAGUGAGGCGCCAUCUGGCCAGGCUUGUGGAAGAUGUGUGUGGCCUCUCCCCCAACUCCAUCAAACCAAGGCUGCAAGUGGCCCUCCAUUCGUGUGUGUAUUUAGGGGCUAG